rnacentral:rRNA from 1 species
UUUAGCAAGCACUUUGUGUAAACUCUGUAUAAAGAGUAAAAUAUACAAAAUUGACGUGAUUAACGAAAUCGGAAAAGCACUAAUGUUUGUUAAAUC